GCAUCUUUGCCAGGGAAGUGAUAGAGGCAAGAAGAGCUCCUCCCGUUGUUCAGGCCAGGACACCUCCCAUACAACCUCCCCCAGUGAUGGUGGUAGUAGAUUCUCCACCACCAUCAAAACACGGCUGUGUAGACUUUUGUUUCAAGUGUGAAAGCGGCCACAGCUGGUACGAUUUGCAAGGGAAAGGUUUAUGCAUUGUCCUGUUGCUGCUUUUGGGUUAUUUGAUCUUUGGGGUUAUCGCUUUAGCAUUUUUUGUGUUGUAUUGUGUUGGCGAGUGCCUCAAGUCAUUUGGAAGUGACUGAGAAAUGGAUCACAUCAUUGGUUUAU